CACGAAUCUUUAUUCCGGGGGGUUGGUAUGCCCCAUAUAAAGCAGAAAUACAUAAUAUGCAUAAUUAUAGAUAACAGAGAAAAAAACAUCAAUAAUUGGUUAGGUGUUAAGUGGUUCAUCAAUUGCUCAUCCUACUGGGUGUGAGGUCACUGGCAUCAUGGUGCUCUCCUCCAGAUUCCAGCGCCAUCUUGUUAAUUCAAGGGUGUUAGUUGAUAAUGGGGGAAACUCCCUAGUGGCCAUUUUAAGUAACUUAUUG